CCUACGGGGGGCAGCAGUGGGGGAUAUUGCACAAUGGGGGGAACCCUGAUGCAGCGACGCCGCGUGGGUGAAGGAGCGUUUCGGCGCGUAAAGCCCUAUCGGCAGGGAAGAAGGAGGACGGUACCUGACUAAGAAGCCCCGGCUAUAUACGUGCCAGCAGCCGCGGUAAUACGGAGGGGGCACGCGUGAUCCGGAUUUACUGGGUGUAACGGGGGCGCAGACGGCAGGGCAAGGCGGGUGUGAAAGGGCGGGGCCCAACCGCGGGACUGCUGUUGGAACUGUGGGGCUGGAGACCAGGUGGGGCAGGCGGAAUUCGUGGGGUAGCGGUGAAAUGCUUAGAUAUGAGGAGGAACACC
rnacentral:rRNA from 1 species